rnacentral:sRNA from 1 species
AAACUAUUACUUGGUAAAUAAAAAAUCCUAACAUUUUGAUUUUAACAUUUGAAAAUUUUCCCACAGGAGGUAAAUAUAGCCUAAAAAUGGUCACCAUCAUCCAACCCUCUUAAAACAAGAUUAAAUCAACAAUAAUGUCAGGUUGGACAGACUUCAGAUUAUUUUGUGUAUGUAAUAACUGUUGGUCUGUCUGUAUGUCUCUUAGAAAAACCAAGCCUGUGUAAUGAAUUACUGUCAACCUUCUAUGUUUACAUGUUGUGUCAUUUCCCAGCGUGUGGGCAAGACUAUUAAGGUUUUAGAUAGCUUAAGACUUGAAUUGGUAGAAGGUGAGUGGUCCUUCAUGACUUUACUUUUAUUUUAAAAUUUUACUUAUUUUGAUACAUGUAUUUUAAUUUCUGUUUUAAUUAUGUAAAGCACAUUAAAAAAUUGACCAUUGCCUGCCAGAACCAGAUAUUUUUACAGUGAAUUGAUUUAACUAAGUAGGUUUGGAUCUGAUUCUUUGCCCACAAAAAUUUCUUUAUGAUUUUUUGAUACUCUUUUAACCCUUUACAGAUACACAAUCAUAUUAGUCCAACUUGAUAUUUUCUAUUCCUUCAUAAACAUUUAAAGAAUAAAGAACCCAUCACCAAUCAUGGGAUUCCGUCAUUGUCUUAUGUAUUUGAACUUUGUCAUUGUCUGAUGAUUAGAGUGCUUACAAUGUACAUAAUGGUCAUGGACUAACCAGGCUAAAUUCUACACUUAAGACUUUUUAUGAUAAACUUACAGGAAUUUUGACAGUUUCAGUGAUAUUAGAACUAUGUUUCACGUUUUACGUAUAUCCCAAUGAUUUUUAACGUAAAGUGCAAUGUUGGACAGAAAACAAAGGAAUUUUCUGUAAACUGAAUUAUAUAUUGGAUGUCUGGUUUUUUUUAAUUUGUGUGUGUAUUGUAUGAGUCGAUGUUGACCUUUCUGCUUUAUUAUAUUACCAUGGUUACCAUGGUAGUUCUUUGAAUUUUACAUUUUUUUAUCAUUAUUAUUAUUAUGGUGCUAUAACUGUUAUGACAUUAGUUUUACAGAUUUUUUUGUGUACUAUUAUUAUUAUUUUCUAUUGUCAAUAAAUGUGAUUUGUUUUUACUUAU